CUUCAGCGACCCCAGCCACAACGGUCGUUCGGCGCUGUGGUGCUGGCCGUAGGUGGCGAGCAGUGCUUGAGCCUC
rnacentral:antisense_RNA from 1 species